UUGUCUACCUGUUACAAUGACAUUAAUCUUAAAUCUAAACCAGGAGAAGCUUGAAGUGCUGCAGGGGCAGUGCAGUCAGCCAUGAGGUGAGGUGGUGGGAAAGUACAAUGAUACUAACAGCAGUCUCCAAACUAAGUAUAGAGAAUAUCUGUUCAUGCUGGUAAUACCUUUCUUAAAGGAAAAAGAGCACCCACUAUAGCUGAUGCCCGGAAAGGCACUAACUGGCUUCAAAGGAAUCUGCACCCAGUCAAGCUAAGCCCAAGAGAAGAUUGCUGUGAGAUCCAGUGUUUGAGAGUGAGAGGAAGGAACUGAAUGCAAGAAAGACCACUGCCUCGUUCAGUGCACAGGACGGAAGACAAUCAAUUAAUAAUACUUAGCUCUUGUAGAUCACUUUUUGCCAGUACAUCUCAAAGGAGAUCCUUACUAAGAACCAAUCUCUGGAUUCUUCUCUGGCUUCCAUGCUCUGGAUCUCUUCUGCCAAGCAGGUCCCUUCUGGAGUGAAAAGUGCGAUCACUCAUUAAAUAGGUUUGAUUCUGAAUCCAGUGUUUUGCAUUUCUAGCAGAGAGUCACUUAAGACUGAAGUGCUGACAUGAAGGAAUUUUACUCUAAGGACCCCACAAUCAAUUUUUUUGCUAAAUCUAGGGAGGAUGUUACUUUUUGCCUAAAAGAAAGAAGAUGCAGAGGUAAAGUGAUUUUAGUUUUCUUACUAGAAGAAUUAUACCUUUUAAAUAAGUAUGGAACUAAACUGAGACUAUAACAUCAGCUUAAUCAAUUUCUGAACUCCAGCUGUACUCUGGAAACAAGAAUUAAUUUAAUUCCUUGUUCUAAGGGAAAUAAUUGCUCAUGACCUUAUUGUAACCCAUUCAGAGCUCCCGUGAGAAAUCAAGUAAAAUCUCAUGACAGGUGUGAAAUUACCACAGAGUAACUGCAGAAAUAAUAGAAUUUAAGGCUCCCUGCAUCACAGCCUAACAUG